rnacentral:rRNA from 1 species
UACGAAGGGGGCUAGCGUUGCUCGGAAUCACUGGGCGUAAAGCGCACGUAGGUGGAUCGCUAAGUCAGGGGUGAAAUCCUGGAGCUCAACUCCAGAACUGCCUUGAUACUGGCAAUCUCGAGUCCGGGAGAGGUGAGUGGAACUGCGAGUGUAGAGGUGAAAUUCGUAGAUAUUCGCAAAGAACACCAGUGGCGGAAGGCGGCUCACUGGCCCGGUACUGACGCUGAGGUGGCGAAAGCGUGGGAGCAAACAGG